GACGAACGCUGGCGGCGUGCUUAACACAUGCAAGUCGAGCGGUAAGGCCCUUUCGGGGGUACACGAGCGGCGAACGGGUGAGUAACACGUGGGUGACCUGCCCUCAGCUCUGGGAUAAGCCUGGGAAACUGGGUCUAAUACUGGAUAUGACUCCACGGUGCAUGUCGUGGGGUGGAAAGCCUUGUGCGGCUGAGGAUGGGCCCGCGGCCUAUCAGCUUGUUGGUGGGGUGAUGGCCUACCAAGGCGACGACGGGUAGCCGGCCUGAGAGGGCGACCGGCCACACUGGGACUGAGACACGGCCCAGACUCCUACGGGAGGCAGCAGUGGGGAAUCUUGCGCAAUGGGCGAAAGCCUGACGCAGCGACGCCGCGUGAGGGAUGACGGCCUG
rnacentral:rRNA from 1 species